AGGUGUUUCUACUGUUUUCUGGACGACUUUCUUCUCAUUUGGAGAAAAAGUCAUCAGGUUGCAUGGUUGUUGCACAGGUUGUGCAUACUUCUUACAUCCUGAAGAUUGGCCACAAUGCGAUGUCCUGAUGUCCCAAACAUCAUAUGCAGCGACACCGAGGGUGCGAUUAGGGUACGGCACAUGCACGGUAUGGAUUCAGAUUCAUCUUAUGACUCCUCUGCAGGGCCUCACCCCCCAGGUUUAAGAUGCCACAGCUGGUCCUCCGUACAACAGACUGUUCUCUGUUCCUGCCUCCUGCUGCCUUGAAGGGUUCAUUGUUGUUUUGUUCUUUUUUAUAAUUAUUAGAAUGUUUUAUGAUUAUUGUUGAGAGUUUUAGGCCUAUGUUAUACUGAAUUGUG